rnacentral:rRNA from 1 species
UAGAUGCGAGAGUAGAGCAUAUCAAUAAGCGGAGGAAAAGAAACUAACUAGGAUUCCCUCAGUAACGGCGAGUGAAGCGGGAAGAGCUCAAAUUUGAAAUCUUCAAGGUUCUACCUUGACGAAUUGUAGUUUAAAGAAGUGUUUUCUGUUGGAGUUUUGGUAAAAGUUCUUUGGAAUAGGACAUCAUAGAGGGUGAGAAUCCCGUAUUUGACCAUUAUUUCCAACUUUGUGAUACACUUUCAAAGAGUCGGAUUGUUUGGGAAUGCAGUCCAAAAUGGGUGGUAAAUUUCAUCUAAAGCUAAAUACUGGCGAGAGACCGAUAGCGAACAAGUACCGUGAGGGAAAGAUGAAAAGAACUUCGAAAAGAGAGUUAAACAGUACGUGAAAUCGUCAAAAGGGAAGCGUUUGACACCAGUGUUGUUUUCUCGAAAAUCAAUUAAAAAUGGCUGGGAUUUUGUGUUGUAUUGACUUUAUCAGCUUUCUGCACUUUUUUCCUAUCUUUUUUAAUGCACUUUUCGUUUAACAAGUCAACAUCAAUUUCUUUUGUUGUAAAAGAGUCAUUGGAAGGUGGCUUUCUUUUCGGAGAAAGUGUUUAUAGCCUUUGACUUCUGCAAUCGGAGAGAUUGAGGUCUGCAGCGUAGACCCUUCGGGGUUAGAUACAUUUGUGCUAAGCUAUAGCCUUUCAUAGACAACUUGUUGACUAUGAUCAGUCAUGUAACUUACUCGCUUAUGUCAUUUUACCUACGCUUAGGAUGUUGACGCGCGUGUGUGCGUG